GAAAAUAUUGUAUUCAGCUACGUUGAAAGCCAUUCAGUUGAGUUGUUUACUUAUAAUUUUCAAGUUUUUUUCAAGGAAAAUUUAAAAUUCACAAGUGCUUAUAAGUUUUAAUCCAACUUGUAUUCAUCAGCGGUAAAAUAAAAUAUUUGGCAUGUUUUUUUUUUCUAGACUUAUCACAUUCUACAUUUGUAAAUACAAAUUUAAAGUGCUUACAACUUUUAAGUCGAAAACAUUGCAUUCAGCUGCGACAAAAAAAAAUCACUUUGUGAGUAUCCUAUCUUAAAAGGAUUUUAUUUUUUUUUUUUCAUUUGGAAUUUUAAGGAUACGAUUUAACAAUGCGCUCGUUCAUGGAGGAGAACGAAAAAAAUGAUCCUCUUAUUAAUGCCCCGGAUAAGAAAAACAAUCCAUGGGCUGAAAAAGGAAAAUGUGUAAUCAUGUAAUAUUACAC